UACGGAGGGGGCAAGCGUUGUUCGGAAUUACUGGGCGUAAAGGGCGCGUAGGCGGCUUAUCAAGUCAGGCGUGAAAUUCCCGGGCUCAACCUGGGGGCUGCGCUUGAUACUGAUUGGCUUGAAUGCGGGAGAGGAUAGUGGAAUUCCCAGUGUAGAGGUGAAAUUCGUAGAUAUUGGGAAGAACACCGGUGGCGAAGGCGGCUAUCUGGCCCGUAAUUGACGCUGAGGCGCGAAAGCGUGGGGAGCAAACAGG
rnacentral:rRNA from 1 species